rnacentral:rRNA from 1 species
UACAUGUGGGCAAGCGUUGUUCGGUAAUCGACUAGGGCAUAAAGGGUGCGUAGGCGGUGGUGCACGUCCUGGGUGAAAUCCUUCGGCCCAACCGGAGGUCUGCCUGGGAUACGGCACUACUUGAGUGCGUGAGGGGUGACUGGAACGCGUGCGUAGCGGUGAAAUGCGUAGAUAUCACGCGGAAGGCCAACGGCGAAGGCAAGUCACUGGUACGCAACUGACGCUGAGUGCACGAAAGC